AGUUGUUGUCACACAAAUGUCAGGCGUUCGAAAGCGUGGAAUGCAACAAAAUUUCCAAUGAAAUUAUACUUUUAUUUCACAAGCUGUCUAGAUUAAUUUGGCCAACACUUAUGCCUGCUAACAACAGAGAAUGGGACUGGACUGCUAUAGCGGGUGCGCUCCUGGCGUUCACGCUGCCGCUGAGCCUGCUGGUGCCCGACUUCUCGUUGUGGAUGGUAGUUCCUAAAGUGCAAGUGACUCGUUUCCACAUACUCGCUCAGCACCUCACUUGGUCGCAGUUAAAUACUGCCAUUACUGCCCUUGUAUUGUUGCUGUUUUUUAUUCAUCUUGAGAUAAGAAAGCGAAAGUUGGAUGAAAUGGUAGAGCGGGUGAUGUUAGUAAGCGAAGCAGCGGACAAGACAGUAGAAGAGGAGAGCGGUAAGCAGGCGGGGGCCAUGCGCGCGUGCGUCGAGCUACUAGACACAGCUGCCGAACAGUACGAGCACCUGGUACUACUGCGUCAAGAGCUAGGCCAGCCACAGCGCAAGCAGGGCCCGCCGGGCGUUGACAGCUCGCAAGACAUUAACGAAUAGCUUGCGAACGGCGAGGUAGCAUGUAACGCCGAAGACAGCGUGUCGCGAGGCAGGCCGUUAGCCGCGCGACAAGCCCAAGGCCGGAGGCGCGUCGUUUUUAUCUGCUCUACGCCGCGCUCGCUCGACCGUGUAAUUGGAUGAGAACGGCGCGAUCCCAAUAGCGCGCCCUUAUCUGUUCGCGGCAAAUCCACCCCCGCCUGCUACCCCUUCGCACCCCCGCGACGCCCGCCGACGCUCCGGCAAUAAGUUUUUAAUAACACAGGUUCUUAAAAGUGCGCAAUCGAUAGAAAAAUAGAAGAUAGGAUUGCGAGGGCCGGAUACAAAGCGGGAUGCUGCGAAUUGUCGUCGUAUUAGCCGGUAUCAGAUGGGCGCGCUCCUGCCUCCCCAUUGCCUACAUGCUGCCCACUGCCCGCUGCUGCCCUGCGUUGCCACGGUCCCGGUUAUCGGCGCUAAGCCUGCUUUACAGCGAGUACCUAUUCGUCGAGAAAAUGCACGGAACCGCUUCUAUUCUUAACCGAAUAUAAUAUAUCUUCUAGGUAUAGCGCAGACAUCUGGGAAAG